GCGGUAUUGACCGCAUUGUUGUUAAAAAAUGAUUGAAUGUUGAAGAAUAAAGAAACUGUUGCGCGAGAGAUGCGGUCCAACUAAAGGUAUGCGUUUAGCGUCUCCAUUUCUUCAAUGUUCUCUUCUAACUUAUCAUUGUUUUGU
ensembl:ncRNA VT21B10L.1 ncRNA